GACGAACGCUGGCGGCGUGCUUAACACAUGCAAGUCGAGCGGUAAGGCCCUUUCGGGGGUACACGGGCGGCGAACGGGUGAGUAACACGUGGGUGACCUGCCCUCAGCUCUGGGAUAAGCCUGGGAAACCGGGUCUAAUACCGGAUAUGACUCCAUGACGCAUGUUGUGGGGUGGAAAGCCUUGUGCGGCUGAGGAUGGGCCCGCGGCCUAUCAGCUUGUUGGUGGGGUGAUGGCCUACCAAGGCGACGACGGGUAGCCGGCCUGAGAGGGCGACCGGCCACACUGGGACUGAGACACGGCCCAGACUCCUACGGGAGGCAGCAGUGGGGAAUCUUGCGCAAUGGGCGAAAGCCUGACGCAGCGACGCCGCGUGAGGGAUGACGGCCUGG
rnacentral:rRNA from 1 species